UACAGAGGGUGCAAGCGUUAAUCGGAUUUACUGGGCGUAAAGCGUGCGUAGGCGGUUUGUUAAGUCGGUUGUGAAAGCCCUGGGCUCAACCUGGGAAUUGCAGUCGAUACUGGCAGGCUAGAGAACGGUAGAGGGAGGCGGAACUCCAGGUGUAGCGGUGAAAAUGCGUAGAUAUCUGGAAGAACACCGAUGGCGAAGGCAACCUCCUGGGCCCUGUUCUGACGCUGAGGCACGGAAAGCG
rnacentral:rRNA from 1 species